GUUGGUGGUCAUAGCUACAUUAAUAAACCUCUUCCCAUUCCGAACAGAGAAGUUAAAAAUGUAAACGCCUAUGAUACUUCGAAAGAGGGAAAGUAGGAAGUCGCCAGCC
rnacentral:rRNA from 1 species